CGGGUUAGAUGCUAUGGUAGAUCGGUGACGACAAGCUCUCUGAAAAAAGAUGAAGAAAUCACCAAGCUUAAACAAAAGCAUGCCAAUGAAAUAACUUCUCUGAAGGAAGAAAUGAAGGAAAUGAUGAGAGAAGAAAUGCGAUGUUUUUUUAGUCAAAUGGUGAAAAACAACCCUGGACUGGAUUUUCAUGAUAUACAAGGGUGUGUUGGAUCUAAUAUUCCUUCACCAAUUGAUGCAAGUAGUGCACGAGCUAUGAGAGGCCAAAAUCUACCACAUUCUUCUGGCUCAACUCACGCCCCAAGUCUUGAAAAGGAAAAUACGGGUGAUGCAAUUGGAUAUGGUGGUCACAAAUCAAUUUGAUUCAUUAAAGUGAAUGGUGAAGACCUUUUGAACAAUUGGGAUGUUUAUUUUUAUUGAUUCUAUAAAUAUGAAUACAUUUGGUUUUGUAGAGGUCUUUGCUAGUGAACUCUUGAACCAACAGUGCUUUAUUACUAUAGACAGUACACAAAGUAUGUUUCUUUGUUGAAAUUUAUUUUAAGUAUAUGCAUUUGAAUUAUUUUUAUUC